rnacentral:rRNA from 1 species
CUCUCGUUAAGGAACUCGGCAAAAUGACCCCGUAACUUCGGGAGAAGGGGUGCUGGUAGCAAUACCAGCCGCAGUGAAUAGGCCCAGGCGACUGUUUAUCAAAAACACAGGUCUCUGCAAAAUCGAAAGAUGACGUAUAGGGGCUGACGCCUGCCCGGUGCUGGAAGGUUAAGAGGAGAGGUUAGCCGCAAGGCGAAGCUUUGAAUUGAAGCCCCAGUAAACGGCGGCCGUAACUAUAACGGUCCUAAGGUAGCGAAAUUCCUUGUCGGGUAAGUUCCGACCCGCACGAAAGGCGUAACGAUUUGGGCACUGUCUCAACGAUGGACUCGGUGAAAUCAUAGUACCUGUGAAGAUGCAGGUUACCCGCGACAGGACGGAAAGACCCCAUGGAGCUUUACUGUAGUUUGAUAUUGAGUGUUUGUGUCACAUGUACAGGAUAGGUAGGAGCUGAAGAAUCCGGGACGCCAGUUUCGGAGGAGGCAACGGUGGGAUACUACCCUUGUGACAUGACCACUCUAACCCGCACCCCUCACCGGGGUGGGAGACAGUGUCAGACGGGCAGUUUGACUGGGGCGGUCGCCUCCUAAAAUGUAACGGAGGCGCCCAAAGGUUCCCUCAGAAUGGUUGGAAAUCAUUCGAAGAGUGUAAAGGCAGAAGGGAGCUUGACUGCGAGACCAACAAGUCGAGCAGGGACGAAAGUCGGGCUUAGUGAUCCGGUGGUACCGUAUGGAAGGGCCAUCGCUCAACGGAUAAAAGCUACCCUGGGGAUAACAGGCUUAUCUCCCCCAAGAGUUCACAUCGACGGGGAGGUUUGGCACCUCGAUGUCGGCUCAUCGCAUCCUGGGGCUGUAGUCGGUCCCAAGGGUUGGGCUGUUCGCCCAUUAAAGCGGUACGCGAGCUGGGUUCAGAACGUCGUGAGACAGUUCGGUCCCUAUCCGUCGCGGGCGUUGGAAAUUUGAGAGGAGCUGUCCUUAGUACGAGAGGACCGGGAUGGACACACCGCUGGUGUACCAGUUGUUCUGCCAAGAGCAUCGCUGGGUAGCUAUGUGUGGACGGGAUAAACGCUGAAAGCAUCUAAGCGUGAAGCCCCCCUCGAGAUGAGAUUUCCCAUCAUUUUAAAUGAGUAAGACCCCUGAGAGACGAUCAGGUAGAUAGGCUAGAAGUGGAAGUGCCGCGAGGCAUGGAGCGGACUAGUACUAAUCGGUCGAGGACUUAACCAC